GCAUUGGUGUUUCAGUGGUAACAGUCUCGCCUUCCAUGCGAGAGACCCAGGUUCUGUUCCAGCCAAUGCA
rnacentral:tRNA from 1 species